ACAGUACCACGUUAAUGUGUCAGAUCCAGCACGAGAAUAACCACGAGCAUCACAUCCCAGCUCCAUUGAUGUCCGACUUCUUAAUUGAGGAAGUUCUUGUUGCUUAUUCUGUUCAAUGAGCUGUACAAACGAGGAACGAUUGACAGAGCCAUGGUACACAAUAGGCUUCACUCCUGGAUCUUUCAAGAAUACCAUAGCAGGU
rnacentral:misc_RNA from 1 species